GUCAGAGGUGUGAGUAUGUACUUUUUGUAAGUGAGUGGUGUAAAAAUUCUGAACACUUUGCUUUGUGAGAUAACCUUACUUACUAUCUUUCAAUCUAUAUUAUGUAUGAAUGUAUAUUCUUCUUAUUAUUAUUGUAUAUAUUAUGAUUACUAUUGCUGAGCAUUACAAUUAUUACUGUGUGUGAAUGGUGAAACUGUGAGUAUGUUAUAUUUUAUAGACAAAGCGUCAUCAAUAUCUGUGAUAGAAACCUGUUGAACCUUGUAAAUAAGUUAAAUUGUUGAAUAGUCUAAAAACUAUUUUAGAUUUUUAUUGUUGAAAAAAUACUGAUCCAUGAAUGUGAUAUUGUUCUGUUUCUGUUAUAUUUUUAUACUGUUAUUUAUAUCUUGCAAUAUUUGUUGAUCAUGCCAUAAUUUUGUUUUGUUUUUGUUCAAAUAAAAAAACAA
rnacentral:lncRNA from 1 species